AUACGGAGGGUGCAAGCGUUGUUCGGAAUUACUGGGCGUAAAGCGCGUGUAGGCGGUCGGGCAAGUCGAAUGUGAAAUCCCCGGGCUCAACCCGGGAAUUGCAUCCGAAACUGCUUGGCUAGAGUCCCGGAGAGGAAGGCAGAAUUCCCAGUGUAGGGGUGAAAUCCGUAGAUAUUUGGAGGAAUACCAGUGGCGAAGGCGGCCUUCUGGACGGUGACUGACGCUCAGAUGCGAAAGCGUGGGGAGCAAACAGGAUUAGAAACCCCGGUAGUCC
rnacentral:rRNA from 1 species